ACAAUCUGACGCAUAUGCAACAGAGUUGAAAGAUGGAAAGAGCAAGGAUACGAUGGCCGAGUGGAAGAGGAAUUAGGCUGAGGCAGAAGACAAAGAGACUGCGUGCGAGAGUGAGAAGCUUUUUCAGGCUUCUCAGGAGCUGGUGCUGCAGAAGGCCUCCGCUGGUCAGAGAAGACGGUCUUGAUUACACAUCUAUACGUCGCUCUAACUCUUUCUACGCCGAUGCAAUUGCAGACUGCAUUGACUUCAUCAACCGCUCCUCCGCUUGACAGCUUCUCAUUCUCUUCCAAUAAUUCUUUCUUCCAUUUUGUAAAAUCCAAUGUUUCUG